rnacentral:sRNA from 1 species
AAAGUUUACUAUCUGCCUCUUUAAAGAAAAAGUCUGCUCACUGCUGUCUCAGAGGAUCAGGCCUUCCCUGCGAGUGUUCUGUAGUUAGGGAUGACUGCCGGCCAGGGGAUCAGCCAGGUCAGUGUAAUGAUGUCUGCAGAGACAUUUACACCCAGAGACAUUGAUGGAAAACAAACGGCUAGACUGGUCAAAUGGGAGGGGUCUUUGUUUUAUGGAAUAAAACGAAGUUCCUUUUCAGUUCCUUCCGAGUAUGAGCAAAAUCCAUGUGAUGUUUUCUCUCCCUUCAUUCUGGGACUGCAAGCAUCGAGGCCAGGCCGGGUUCAUUCCGAGCAGCGAAGGGAGUAUCGACAGACGGGAGCGUACAGUGGAAAGAAUCCCAUCCUUGCCUUCCCCUUCCCUUCUUCCCUGGUCUUCCUCUUCUGCUUCUCCAGCCCCCGUCCUAUGCCUGGCUUUAUGCUAGGUCCAGGAGAUCCACCGGGGAGCUGAAGCCAGUGGCACUGGUCCUUAGCUCUGGACUUGACGGAUCUUAUGUCACACCUUUUGUAGAUGAAAAUGCUGACUCUCCAGAACCCAUUUAUCCAGGGCUGCCAGGUGGCAGGUUCGAGCUGAGGGACCCCUCUCUGCCAGCCCUGAGAACUACUUCCUCACUCGUGCGUUUCUACCUUGUGGCUUUGGGGUGUGCUGACCCAGAGGCUCAUGGAUGGGGCUUGAGCCCGUGGUCAGCCACAUUGGUUCCCAGAAGCAGGGACCGCAGAGGCAUGGACAGCGCUGACCCAGAGUGCUCGGACCCGUCCUGGCAGAGCCAUCUGGGCCUGAGGUUAAGGUUCAGCCCUGCCCUUUCAUGUGAUGGGACCAAGGCAGGGAAGGGGCUGAGCAGACUCGGGGUGGGGCCAGUGGCCAGUGCCCAGCAUCGCUCCAGACCCUGGCCAUUGGCAGCAGGCUCACAUGGACAGAGUGCUCUGGAAACGCCUUGGUUUUAGGAUCAGAAACGUUCAAUCUAGCACUUUCCUCGGGGCUUCUCAUUCUUCCUUUUCUCAAAAAAGAGACAGCUAAGUGACAGUGGAGGAAAUCACCUUACACACUCUGAGCUUGAACUCAGAAGGUUCUCUGAUAAAAGGGGAUGAGAAAGGGGCAGGUACCCUCAGGUAGCAGUAAAUCUACUUUUUCCCUGUCUUUGUAGGGCUGACAAGUCCACCCCACUGACCAACAAAGGCCAACCGAGAGGACCUGUGGAUCUCUCUGCAACAGAAGCUCUGGGUCCUCUGUCCAAUGCUAUGGUCCUGCAGCCUCCUGCACCCAUGCCUAGGAAGUCGCAGGCAACCAAGUUGAAGCCUAAGCGGGUGAAAGCGCUCUAUAACUGUGUGGCUGACAACCCUGAUGAGCUCACCUUCUCCGAGGGGGAUGUGAUCAUCGUGGACGGGGAGGAGGACCAGGAGUGGUGGAUUGGCCACAUUGAUGGAGAUCCUGGUCGUAAAGGCGCAUUCCCGGUGUCAUUUGUGCACUUUAUCGCCGACUGAAUUGCUACUGAAAAAAAGCAUUCACAGUUAUGUUCCUGUUUCGUUAUUGGUACCAAAACUCUUGCCAGAUAACCAGUUUCAUGAACUGUUUGUAUGGCAGCCCGUGUUCUCUAAUGCCACUGCUCUGUUUGAAAAACUCAGAGGCAAUUUUUACAUAUCAGUAAUUGUUUUUAUAAUUUGUGGUUUUCAUGAAACAUUGCUGUGCAUUUAUUAGGAAAAACUGAAUUUCCCAACAGGUGAACUGAAAAGUUAUUUUAACUAUUAUACAUAAUCAAGAUCCUGCCUCUACGGAAUUAGCUAAACCUAAAAAUGUUUGCAUUAAGUGUGUUGGAAAUAAAUUCUUCCUCAUUCCUUGGCCCAGUUCUGGAGUUGGUGACCUUUAGCACGAUUAGUAUUUUAGGCGGCCAGUCAGCUGCUGCUUCAGAAGUCCAUAGCCCAGCUCUGAACUUCCUCGACAAAAUGCCGUCAGUUCACCUUUAAAGACACAUAUUCCUUUGAAAUCCACCCAGUGUUUAAAAAGCAACUUGGAAAUUUACACAUUAGCAUUGUACUUUCUAGCCCUAAUUUGUGAGGUUGCAGCUAUCAUUAUAUUCUGCAUGUAUGUAUAACCUGUUAUGAACAAUCAUACUUAACAAAACUACUGAUGGUUUAUGACAACGUAGGGUAACUACCGUUCAUACCGUUCCAGGUUAUAUAAAACUGCAUUUCCUGAAUUUGGUUAAAAACUAAGGAUGAUGGAUUGCAAAACAGUUCUUUUAAAUUAGUUUAUAUGCUUUAGGUGUUUUGGAAUUUGCCUUCUUGAACUUCCUGAAUCACACAGAAAGCAACUGUACACAGUAGAACUCUGUGGCGCAGACUACGCUGUAUUAACGCAUCACUUGCUGUUUCCUACUGAGUGUACCGCUGCCUUCCCUUCUAGCCCAUGAGAAUGUUCACUCAGCUUAGUGUCUUGUAUUUAUAUAAUACUCCAGCAGGAAUGGUAGUCACACUGUCCAUCUGUUUAUCAUCAAGAACAUAUCAGAAAUAUAUAGGUCCCAGAUAAUACUCCCAAACAUCCCAGUUUUUACUAUUUAAGGCCAUCAUAUCAUUCUUAAGCUACUUGGGGUGGUAGUAGGGGGGAUUAGGUUGUCUAUUAUAAAACCAAAACUCAUUAGUUUAAUGAACUUGACUGUCAUACCUCUAUUUGGUAAUUGUGAGGGUAGGAUUCAUAGUAGGAAUAUUGGAAAUUUUGGCACUCUGAGAAUAAAUAGGCAUAUGAUACCCACUUGGACUUUUAACAAAAGUAAAGGAAUAAAUUUGAGUAUAGGCUUGGAAAGUGAGGCAGCAAUGCUGUUAACUGCAUUUGUCGUGAUGGUGCAUUUGAUUGAAGCAGCUUGUCUUUAUUAUGCAAGACUGUGUAGAGUUUUUUUUUUUUUUGGCAUUGUACUUUUUGUUGUUGUUAUAAAGGAAGACAGAACAAACUGGAAUGUUUUAUGAUGUUGUAUAGCAAUCGCUUUUUGCCUUUCAAAGUUCCGGGUAAAAAUGUGUUAGAUCUGUAGUUUUUUUUGUUUUUGUUUUUUUAAAGCACUACAUCUGUUUUCACUAAUUGUUAAUUUCUGUUGUUUGAACCCUUCAUUUAAUUUUCUCAUAGAUUUAAGUAAACAGAUGUAUUUUGCACAGUGCACUUAUGUCUAUUUUAACAAUCCUCCUGCAUCGGUAUUUUAUAGUCAGCCUUUUGACCACCUGGUGCCAGCUAUAUAAGGAAUAAAGUUGAUUGAUAUCAACAUUAGAACUCCAGUCCCAAACUAAUCUGUCAGGUUCACUGGUACAUAAAUACCUAGGAAAUAUUUUUCCAGUCUACAAUUUGGUGCUAUUGUGCAGUAACUAAUAGUACUCUUACCAGAGGAGAAAUUAUAUUAACGACCCUGCUAAUAUCCUUUCUUAGUUAUUUGCUCUUUGCAAAUUAAAAAAGCAACUGAGAGAAAGAAAAACAUUGUAGAUAUCUAUUUAUAUUUAAAGUUUAUGUUUCAUGAACUGCAGCUGAGGAUUCUGGCAUUUUGCAUGCCAUUCUGCAUCAGAUCUGGGAUGAUGGCUCAGAAUAUGUACACAGACUAAGAGUAACUGUGAUCUGUUAAGGGGUGGAUAACAGUAUGCAGCUUAGGAUGCUACUUUGAGAUGUAUGAUAUUCAGUUCAUUCACCUGAUUACUUUGGUUGCAGCACAACUGUAUAUAUUGUAUAACCGAAAUUGAUUAUUUUCAUUGUCCUUAAUGCAGUGAUUUAUAAUUAGAGCAUGUUUAAUAAGUUUACUCUUCUUGUUAACUAGUCAUUUGACUGGAAAAAAAUAAAAUACUUUUAAAUGG